UAUCUAGUCUCUCUGCGCUAGGCCGCCCCACCGCAGCGCCCACGCCCAAGGAUCUCGCAGUUGCCAUGGCGUCGCGGCUCCGAUCCAUCGCUAGGGCUCUUGGAAUGUAGCGUCGGGGAAGACUCGUCUAUCUUGGAAGAGGGUUUGGCGGCGAAUCCCGCAGCAAUGUGGCAGCAGCAGCAGCAACAGCAAUCCGAGUGGAGGAAUGCGAAUCAUCCAUUCUGGCAGCAGUACCAGCGGCAGCAGCAGUACCAGCAGCAGCAGCAGCAGCAGUGGAGGAAUCAAAACCAGACGAUUUUCCUCGCGAGUUUCCACAGGCGCCACUAAACAUAUUGGCGAUAUAUUGGCGAUGGAACGCGCAGGACUUCUCAAGGGCCUGGAACUGGAGCAAGGCGGCCUUUUCGUGGAACCAAAGAGACAAUAGGAAUUGGUAAGGUGGGAGGUUUGUGAGGCAGGAUGAUAUUCAGACGCCAUAGUUGCAGCUAGACGUGCAAACGUUCCCACGUGUUAACGUUUAAACGCUGUUUAAAACGUUUCUUUUCAGGACAAUCCAACGUUUACAUGUUAAAGCC